CCCGAGAUGUGUCUAUUGAUCUAUCAGACUUUUCAGAUUGAAGAGUAUUUUGUGUACCUAACCCUGUAGGAAUGGUUUUAGCAGUCUGUGAUGUACCUAUUUGAGUAGGUGUAUUGGUCAAGUGCUUGUAUGUGUCUGUGAUCUUUGUGGUGCUAUUGACAACUCCAAUUCUUGUUUCUCUAACUCCUUAAUCCUCUAAAUCAGUUUCCCUCUCAUGUGGGAAUACACCUACACCUACAGGAGUACUUUGAGUCGGGUCCAUAAAACUGACCGUCUUGUCAACCUUAGCACCUUGAUCAACAGAAACAUCAACUGAAUUAUCACACUUUUUCUGACUUGCUGUCUCUUUUCAUAUUCACUCUCUCAAAACAUGCACUUAGAUCUUGAAACUCUCUGUCAAUUUCUCUUUCAUUCACACUAUCUUGCUCCUUUUUAAGGGCAACAAAAUUGUCAUCUACUGUUUGGUUAUGGUCACCUUUGACAUUAGUUUUCGGCCUAGCACCACUAUCUGUUGGCGUGGAAGCAUAAAAGAAAGGGACUUCCGCGUUAAAAGAAUAGAAAAGAGUCGCACCAUCAACACACAGAUCAGAAUAUUUCUGACUGCAGAGGAGAACAGACGUGUCCAAUUAGACAUCAUAUCAGGAGCAAGGACAAUCAACGAAAGGAAGGCUACCCUUAAAGAGAAAAACGCCGCAAGGAUGAUUCUUCGCUGGAAAAAGCACUAUCCAUUGACGAUCGCCAAAUGCCACAACCCAUUGACCGGGACGGAGGAAAAUCGCUUAAUGGUUGAUGACGUGUUCAGUUUUUACACAUGGCUUCGCCCCCUCCGCUCGAAAGAAAGCACCGAGAUUGCAGACGCGCUCGAGUCCAUUUAUCAAAGCAAAGGACCGCCAAAAAGUAUUCAAUGCGAUAAUGGUCGAGAAUUCCAUGGCACAGUUACCCAAUUGGCCGAGGCGUUGCCAUUUUACGUGUAUCACGGCCGGGAAUCUAAUCGCGUGCGUAAAUCUACUCGACUUUGGCCGAGCGUUCCGAAUCACGUUUCCAGUCAGCUAAAAAAGCAAUCAGCUGUCCGCAACACAGCCUUAUUGGAAUCGAACAAACUCGAAAAAACUAUGAUAAAGCACCAUUUCAAAGAACAACAAGUUAGUGUGUAUAGCGUGGGCGACGACGUGUAUGUAAAAUCUCGAACGCACAAAAAUUACAAUAAAGCUAAGCCCCUUUUCGAAAGAGGGAAAGUAAUCGCUACUAAACACAACGCGUUCUCGUAUAAACUCAGGUUUUCUAGUGGAGUUUCGCGUUGGAUAAACGUCCAAAAUAUAGCUGCGAUUUUGCGUUCCGACGAACUGUUAAAAAGGCAAAAACGUCAUCGAUUAAGAUUUAAUAUCAUGUGCGAAUGUAACAGCGAUGAAUGCUCACGAAAAUCAGACCUCAACUGCAAACACAAACGCAAUAAAUUUUGUUGCCGCAAAAGCAAAAUCCCGUGUUCGCUGCCGUCUCAUAUUUUCCCUCAUAUAUUGGAUUUCUAUCUUUCCAAAAACUUAGUUAACCAACUCAUAGGACCGAGCCUAUCGAUAACCGAUACAGCCCAUGACGGCUUGGUUCGAAUUGCACUUGAACGCGAUUUAGUUCCAGUUGGAAACAUUCCUAAAGACGGCAGCUGUCUAUUUCAUUCUGUUGCGCAAUCGCUCUCAAGUCAGUUACAAACCGAUCUUGGUCAGCUAGAUAUCCGAAAGUGGUUAAUUUGCUUUCCGAAAAUCCCGAAACACCAGACGGCGACCGCUUCUCUCCGUUCAUUCCUUACCUUCACUGGGACACCUAUUUAGAGGGCAUACAAGGUACCGAAUGGGGCGAUCACAUCUGCAUAACAGCCAUAGCGAACGCAUUUAACAUCGCAAUAGGUAUCGUGUCGAGCUCCCAGUCCAACUUAAAUUACAUUUUACCUUUCAAUCCUCAAAAUCGGGAACAUCUUUUGCAUAUUUAUUUGGGUCAUGAGCUCGAGUUUCAUUUUAUUAGAUUAGAGCCAAUAGUAGGCAUGCAGUCGGAUAUUUUCAAUAGUGCAGUUAAUGUUCAAAAUGUAAAUAAAAUCCUUGGCAGAACCUCCAUCAGAAUAGACGUAAGGUUUCCCACACACUACCUACUGGACGAAAUCCAUUUCAACGAUGCUAGAACUGUCCAAUUCCUGAUUUCCAUCAGCAAGACAGUAAAGACUAUCUCCUUGGAGAAGAGAAUAAACGGCCCUAUUCAGUGCAUUUCAAUAUUCCCGACGAUGAAGGUAUCAAGGCCUGCAGGGAGGUAUGGGACAGAAGAACGAUUCGCCAGCCGUCAACCGAAUUUCUACUCAAGUUCCUUGAACAAGUUUUUAGGCUGAACUAUUUUAUGUUUAAUGGCGAACAUUACAUACAAAUAAGUGGCACAGCUAUUGGCACCAAAAUACGCCAAUAUAACAAAGAUUGGAACGCAACCUGCUUCGUAGAGCUCCUUUCAAAUCUUUGAGCUAGUUGCAGUUCAUAGACGAUAUUGAGAUGAAAUGGGUCGAAAUCCGAGACUGUCUAAAUGACUUCAUUAACUUUGCCAAAUCCUGCAACGAUUCGAUUAAAAAUCACAGUGUAUCAAGUUCCAACUAUGUAUUUUUGGGAUACUACAUCAAACCUGGAAGAUUGAGAAAUAAAAUUCAGUCUCCAUGCAAAACCCACUGAUUCUUACCUUUUAUCUCAAGCCAUCGAGUUGCCACCCUCCCCAUACUUUUAGAGGAAUUUCUGAAGGAUUAACAAUCCUUAUCAGACGGAUCUGUUCUUCUAAUGAAAUAUUUGAAGAACAUCAGAAUAUUAAAAUCCCAUCUGUGUAAUCGAAACUAUAAAGCCCACGCACUGCAAUUGAUUGGAUUGUAAUAAAAGACAGGGAAACCCUUUUGCAAUACAAAGAGAAAACACACAAAAACAUGGUUCUACUUGUCACUACUUAUAGCCCCGCCCUUCAGAACCUCAACACUAUCCUUUGAAAUAAUCUGCCCAUUCUCUAAACUAACGAAAGAAUGGCCGAUCAUUUGAAGGAUCCGCCAAUGGCUGCGUUUAAACGAACUGGACAUUGUAGUGAGGGCGAGAUUAGACAACCCGUUGCCAAUAGUGAUUGCCGAUCCCCGAUGCCUUUUGUGCAAACACAGCACCAACGCAGACAGUUUUAAAAUCCCCAUCACAGGUCGCACCUACAAGAUAUUUGGCAACACAUCUUGCCGCAAAGACAACUGCAUUUAUCUCAUCAGUUGCAAAGUUUACUCUGGUGUAACAGGUGACCUCCGGAGAAGGAUUAAUAACCACCGCUCUACUAUAAUACCAAACCAAAUCAAGGAGCCCGUUGGAGAACAUUUUAAUACGACUGGCCACAAAUGGGAAGACAUGACAGUAUUGGUUAUUAGUCCCCUACCGGUUUCACCGGAGGGAACUAUAGCUUUCCUCUGCGCCCGUCAGUCCGUCCGUCUGUCCCACUUCUUUCUAUAUGCGUUUGAAGAAUAAUAUGAAAGUUGCUGAACAGCUU
rnacentral:sRNA from 1 species